GCCUAGGUGGCUCAGUCAGUUGAGCGUCUGACUUCGGCUCAGGUCAUGAUCUCACGGUUUGUGACUUCGAGUCCCGUGUCUGGGCU
rfam:Felis catus isolate Cinnamon breed Abyssinian chromosome E1, whole genome shotgun sequence.